rnacentral:rRNA from 1 species
UACGGAGGGUGCGAGCGUUGUUCGGAAUCACUGGGCGUAAAGGGCGUGUAGGCGGUCCGCUAAGUCUGAUGUGAAAGCCCGGGGCUCAACCCCGGAAGUGCAUUGGAAACUGGCGGACUCGAGUCCCGGAGAGGAGAGUGGAAUUCCUGGUGUAGCGGUGGAAUGCGCAGAUAUCAGGAGGAACACCAAUAGCGAAGGCAGCUCGCUGGGACGUUACUGACACUGAGGCGCGAAAGCGUGGGGAGCGAACAGG